GCCAUCAACCAUAUCACCCUGCAACUCACAACUACAAUCCACUGAAGCUAAGCAGGUUUGAGCCUGGUCAAUACCUGGAUGGGAGACCUCCUGGGAAAAACUAAUGUUGCC
rnacentral:rRNA from 1 species